GAUGAACGCUGGCGGUAUGCUUAACACAUGCAAGUCGAACGAACUCUUCGGAGUUAGUGGCGGACGGGUGAGUAACGCGUGAGAAUCUGCCUUCAGGUCUGGGACAACCACUGGAAACGGUGGCUAAUACCGGAUGUGCUUCACGGUGAAAGAUUAAUCGCCUGGAGAUGAGCUCGCGUCUGAUUAGCUAGUUGGUGGGGUAAGAGCCUACCAAGGCGACGAUCAGUAACUGGUCUGAGAGGAUGAUCAGUCACACUGGAACUGAGACACGGUCCAGACUCCUACGGGAGGCAGCAGUGGGGAAUUUUCCGCAAUGGGCGAAAGCCUGACGGAGCAAUACCGCGUGAGGGAGGAAGGCUCUUGGGUUGUAAACCUCUUUUCUCAAGGAAGAAGACAAUGACGGUACUUGAGGAAUAAGCAUCGGCUAACUCCGUGCCAGCAGCCGCGGUAAUACGGAGGAUGCAAGCGUUAUCCGGAAUGAUUGGGCGUAAAGCGUCCGCAGGUGGUUUUGUAAGUCUGCUGUUAAAGCGUCAUGCUCAACAUGAUAAAGGCAGUGGAAACUACUCAACUCGAGUGCGUUCGGGGCAGAGGGAAUUCCUGGUGUAGCGGUGAAAUGCGUAGAGAUCAGGAAGAACACCGGUGGCGAAAGCGCUCUGCUAGGCCGCAACUGACACUGAGGGACGAAAGCUAGGGGAGCGAAUGGGAUUAGAUACCCCAGUAGUCCUAGCCGUAAACGAUGGAUACUAGGUGUUGCUUGUAUCGACCCGAGCAGUACCGUAGCUAACGCGUUAAGUAUCCCGCCUGGGGAGUACGCACGCAAGUGUGAAACUCAAAGGAAUUGACGGGGGCCCGCACAAGCGGUGGAGUAUGUGGUUUAAUUCGAUGCAACGCGAAGAACAUUACCAGGACUUGACAUGUCGCGAAUUUCGGUGAAAGCUGAAAGUGCCUUCGGGAGCGCGAACACAGGUGGUGCAUGGCUGUCGUCAGCUCGUGUCGUGAGAUGUUGGGUUAAGUCCCGCAACGAGCGCAACCCUCGUUUUUAGUUGCCAGCAUUUAGUUGGGCACUCUAGAGAGACUGCCGGUGACAAACCGGAGGAAGGUGGGGAUGACGUCAAGUCAGCAUGCCCCUUACGUCCUGGGCUACACACGUACUACAAUGCUACGAACAAAGGGCAGCGACACAGCGAUGUGAUGCAAAUCUCAGAAAUCGUAGCUCAGUUCAGAUCGCAGGCUGCAACUCGCCUGCGUGAAGUCGGAAUCGCUAGUAAUUGCAGGUCAGCAUACUGCAGUGAAUUCGUUCCCGGGCCUUGUACACACCGCCCGUCACACCAUGGAAGCUGGUAGUGCCCGAAGUCAUUACCCCAACCUUUCGAGGAGGGGGAUGCCUAAGGCAGGACUGGUGACUGGGGUGAAGUCGUAACAAGGUAGCCGUACCGGAAGGUGUGGCUGGAUCACCUCCUUUUUAGGGAGACCUACCCACUCAGAUAUCAAAAGCACACAGUAAUUAGAUACUGAAUUGGUCAACCGAGGUCGGUCGCAGAGAUUGUUGAGGCUUUCAAACUAUUUUUGGUUCUUAUGGGCUAUUAGCUCAGGUGGUUAGAGCGCACCCCUGAUAAGGGUGAGGUCCCUGGUUCGAGUCCAGGAUGGCCCACCUGAAAGAAGGAAAAAGUCAAAAGUCAAAAGGCAAAAGAAAAGAUUAUUUUUUUUACCUGAUACCUUGUAGCUUUUACCUUUUUGAUGGGGGUUUAGCUCAGUUGGUAGAGCGCCUGCUUUGCAAGCAGGAUGUCAGCGGUUCGAGUCCGCUAACCUCCACCUGCAUUGUGCAAUAGUUGCAUGCUUUAUUGUUCAUGACUAUCAAAAAUGAAGAUAAGAAUGAUAUAAUAGUCUUGUGGCGUUGAGCGCGAUGUGAUCAGAUAAAAAAGUGUGGGUUAAUUCAGCAACAUGGCACGAUUGCCAGACUGCUGGGUGAUUAUCCAGCCAGAACCUUGAAAACUGCAUAGAAACGCGAUUAAUUGUAGGCAGUUAACCGUUGACAGACAACAGUUAACUUUUUUACAGACAGCAAUUGUUUUGAGUGGUUCAAGCUAAUAAGGGCUAACGGU
rnacentral:rRNA from 2 species